rnacentral:rRNA from 1 species
GACGUAGGGCGCGAGCGUUGUCCGGAUUUAUUGGGCGUAAAGAGCUCGUAGGCGGCUUGUCGCGUCGAUCGUGAAAACUUGUGGCUCAACUACAAGCUGGCGGUCGAUACUGCCAUGACUGGAGUCCGGUAGGGGAGUGUGGAAUUCCCGGUGUAGCGGUGAAAUGCGCAGAUAUCGGGAGGAACACCAGUAGCGAAGGCGACACUCUGGGCCGGUACUGACGCUGAGGAGCGAAAGCGUGGGGAGCAAACAGG